rnacentral:lncRNA from 1 species
GGUGAAGAGGAGGCAAGCGCACUGUGUGGAGGAGGCGAGGGUGAGGCAGGGCGGGAGCUGCAGGGGUGGUACCUGCCACCGGCCCUCCCAGAGUGGCCGAGAAGGUUCAAGAUGACGGGUGUUCCUGUGCCUGGAACAAAGGGAGCGCUCAGCAGGCUGCAGGGGACAGCCGUGUGCCAUGGCACUUGUCGUUUCGCACGUGGGUGAGGCUAACCUGAGGAUCAAUCCCUGGAGUGCUGGGUCAGGAGACAUGUCAUCGCAAUUCUGACAGCUGUCAACUCGCCUUCUGCAGAGGUUGGACCACGCCCCUCCCCCAGGAAGGUUGACCAUCGUUUCCGGUGUGUGUGUAUGUGGAGCUCCUCCUCCAGAUGAAUUCCAGAGCAACACUGAGCUCAGACAGCAGAGGAGCUCCGGACACGCUGCUCCCACAUGAUGCUCAUCGCCCUGGGCUGACGGGGACAGCCCCGCGGUGCCUGUUCAAGAAGUGGCCACCUGGUGAAGGGCAAGGUUUUGAGUUCCUUUCUGCGACUUACUUUCUGAGGCUCAGAUUCCUCAUCUGUAAAAAAUAAGAAUAAUAAUAAAAUCCACUUUAGAGGGCUCUCGGAAAGAUGAGUUUAAGUUUUUAAUGUUAAGUACCUGGCACAGUUCCUGGCUCAG